rnacentral:rRNA from 1 species
CCUACGGAGGCAGCAGUAAGGAAUAUUGGUCAAUGGACGCAAGUCUGAACCAGCCAUGCCGCGUGAAGGAUGAAGGUCCUCUGGAUUGUAAACUUCUUUUAUCUGGGACGAAAAAAGGGCAUUCUUGCUCACUUGACGGUACCAGAGGAAUAAGCACCGGCUAACUCCGUGCCAGCAGCCGCGGUAAUACGGAGGGUGCGAGCGUUAUCCGGAUUUACUGGGUUUAAAGGGUGCGUAGGUGGGCAGGUAAGUCAGUGGUGAAAUCUUCGAGCUUAACUCGGAAACUGCCAUUGAUACUAUCUGUCUUGAAUAUCCUGGAGGUGAGCGGAAUAUGUCAUGUAGCGGUGAAAUGCUUAGAUAUGACAUAGAACACCAAUUGCGAAGGCAGCUCACUACGGGAUGAUUGACGCUGGAGCGACGAAGACGGUGGGUAGUACGAACGAGGAGUAGUACUACCGUACGGUACGUACCGACCGACCCGUAAACCGUACGUAGGUAGUACUACGACAUAUGCGAUACUACUGUAGUGUGUCGUGAGACGAAACGAACGUAAGUUAAAGUUAACGUUACCCGUACCCGUUACGGGUUAAGGUAACCGGACCGGACCGACGGUUAGGUUAACGUUACGAAGGAAGUUAGUUACGGACGUUGAGACGACGACCGACGGACGGACGACGACGGGAGGUAGGUAG